UACGAAGGGGGCUAGCGUUGCUCGGAAUCACUGGGCGUAAAGCGCACGUAGGCGGGUCUCUAAGUCAGGGGUGAAAUCCUGGAGCUCAACUCCAGAACUGCCUUUGAUACUGGGAAGCUUGGAGUCCGGGAGAGGUGAGUGGAACUGCGAGUGUAGAGGUGAAAUUCGUAGAUAUUCGCAAGAACACCAGUGGCGAAGGCGGCUCACUGGCCCGGUACUGACGCUGAGCCGCGAAAGCGUGGGGAGCGAUCGG
rnacentral:rRNA from 1 species